CAGAAAGCCGACUCCUAAAGGAGGCUGGUGUUGAGCCAGGCCCUUAUAUAACACACCUACUUGCUAUAAACAAGAGCACCAGAGAAAGGUUUCCAAUUGGAUUGAAAGUGUUCCCCCUUUUGUCUGCAGUUUGGACAACUUCAAGGCUGUAAAGAUGAGUCUACCCCACAUAUAUUAUUGUCCUUACAUGUUCUCUCCCUUUUUGUUCUCUCCCUUCUAACUCAACCUUCAACUCCCUAUCGUGGAAGGAAAUAUAGUUGUUGUGUGUGUGCAUGUGUGUGUGUGCCUGCGUGCAUGCAUGUAUGUGUGAAUGUGUGCGUGUGCGUGUGUGUUUCUCAGCAUAAUCCGCUUUAGCAGGCUGCUAGAUCUGACCAGUAGCAGCAGCUGUGGCAGCUGCAGCAGUGGCUGAUUGCACUGGAAGGGCAUGGAUAAGCCUGUUUGAUGGAACCAAGAAGGAAGGCAUUUAAAACCUUCAUGUCUUUCUACUGCUCUUUGCAAGCCCUCAUUAGCUUCACUAGAGGGAAAACUUAUCUUGUAGGGUUCAGUCGCUGUCUUCCUCUGGGCACACAGCACAAUCAGGAGGGAUUUCCAUUCAAAAUAAAGGAGGUGGAGUUGGAUUUUUAAAAAGAGAGAAAGGGAGAAGAGCAUACUCUCUCUCAUCUGCUGAAACUCACUGAGCCAGGUGACCUCCUGAAAAGGUAGGAAGACAUUGGUUUUGCCUCCUACUCCCUCUUGGCUCUCUGACUCUGAGACCCACAGGCGGUCCCAGUCAGUAAACGGGGUUUCUGGUCCUGUAUGAGUGUGCUUUGUUUUCCGAGGGAGUCUGAAUACUACCCAUCCAACCUUCUAUAUCGUCUUUUUCCCUGACGUGGAAAGAUUACAGUUCCCAGAUAGAUGGCUGGAAAUUGCUUCGGGGAGAGGGUAGAGUGGUGACUGGUGGGAAUAAAGGAUUCUGGAUGGGAAGCCCCGGAGGAAGCCACUGACCGCAGUGCAUGCUGGGGGUUGUAGUUCUCGUGUACUCCACGGGUAAACAAGUCAGAGAAGCAGGCAGAGGAACCAACUCAGUAAAACCCGAGCUAUGUGAGAUGAAUGCUUGCUGGAUCCCGGGAUUUAGGCUAAAGUGGGCCAGCCUAGCCUGCCUGCUGAAGACAUAAGAAAGGGUUUUUGAAGGCGUCUCUCAUAAGAUGGCAUUUGAGCAGAGACCUGAGGAAGUGAAAGAUGGAGGGCUGAAGCUUCCAGUUAGAGGAACAAGCAAAGACCCCGAGCAGGAUCAGGAAAGUGUGGUAGAGACAUAAUCAAAGAUUCAGACAAAGAUAUAACUACAGAAUGCACAUGACGGUUUUGUUAAUACACCAAAAGGAAAAAAAUUAAAUAACGGACUCUCCCAAUAAAUUGUGACCAUCUAUAGUUUGGAAUAACAUGAAGAUUGUUAAAAACUAUGUUUACAAGAAUGGCAAUAACAGAGAAACACUUGCUAUAUAAUUUUCACAAUAACAAGGUGAAGAAAUAUUAUAUAUAUAUAUAAUAAAAUUCAAAUUUUUAAGAGAAAUUAAAAUGUAUAGAAAACAUUGGAAAAGGAUACACUUAAUAAUCUUUUUUUCAGCAUGGUAGAAUUGUGGGUGAUUUUUGUUCCCUUUAUAUUUUUUAAUACUUUGUACUUUUUAAUGACAAAUGUAUAUACUACCAUUUAAUGAUAAAAAUAUAUUUUUAAAAUACUGGAUAAGAAUUAUUCAAAUAAAUGCCUUAUUUAAAAGUUAAAUUGCAGACCAAGUGCAGUGGUUCACGCCUGUAAUCCCAACACUCUGAGAGGCCAAGGUAGGAGGACUGUUUGAGGCCAGGAGUUUGAGACCACCUUGGGCAACAGAGCAAGACCCUGUCUUUGCUGGGCAUGGUAGUAUGAGCCUCCAGUCCUGGCUACUCAGGAGGUUGAGGCAGGGGGAUUGAUUGAGCCCAGGAGGUCAAGGGUGCAGUGAGCUAUGAUUGUGCCACUUGCACCCCAGCCUGGGCAACAGAGCAAGACCGUCUCUACAAAUAAAUAAGUAAAUAAAUAAGAUACAAUAAAAAUUAAAUUGCAAAUGAAAAGUUACACUCUAUCUCAUCCUAUUGUAUACUAGAAAUUAUAAUUUUCCUCCAAUUCAUUACUUUGAUUAUUCUACAAAAUCAAGACUAAACUGGAAUUCAAAUCAGAAAGGCUAAGAAGCAAAGAAUAACAAUGGUGAACUUCAAGAUAAAUAUCCCACAUUAUUUUCAAGGCAGAGGCCAGUGUUGCCUUCUGCAUCUGUUUUGGGAAGAGUGCCCAAAGCCUUCAGAGGAGACAACCUUUUGUGCUGUGUCCCCUACUCCCCCCCCCAUUCUUACCCUGAAUAGCAUUCUUUCCAAAAAAGAAUAAAGAAUACUCAAGGAAAACUAUUAAAAUGCUUGGCAAAACUACACAGACAGACACAGAGGCCAAUUAAGUAUAAAUAUUUCACACCAGAACUGUCUUUUUGACCCAGCCACUAAUAUCUACCCGGCCACAGAUCUAAAUGUUUGGAUGAAAACGACAGAGCAGAGGAGGGCUGGUCAGCCAGCUGCAGAGGGGCGCCCCUUCGGAGCGUUCGCAUCUGCCUGAAGAAUAUGUGUAGUACGUUUUCCUAGAAGCAUGGAGGGGCAUGCGGGUUUGACCAUCUUCCUAAACCUGGAGAAGGUCACUGUUUUCCUUCAGGGAUUAUUCUGUCUCACCGCUUUUGUUUUUUGGUUUCCCUUGAUCUAAAACAAAAGGGUCUACUUUCUUCUUUGGAUUUUGAAGCUGUGGGUGCCUUUCUUCUCAGUUAAUUUUUUUUUUUGUUUUCAUCUGUUAAGACUUAGCUAGUUUAGGUUUUGAAAAUGAACACACUGACAGCCAUUGUGAGAAGAUAGCCUGGCCUUUUGGAGGACAAAUGCUGUGGGGUGGCGUAACCUUGAGGCUCAAGUCCUGGCACUGGCAUUUAGUGUGAGUCAUGCUGUAUUGCUUCACCUCCUGGGCUUCAGUCUCUCCAUCUGUGAAUGUAGAAUGACAAUACCUGCUGUGCUGUAAGGUCACUGUGAAGAUUAAAUGAGAUAAUGCUUUGUAA
rnacentral:lncRNA from 1 species